CAUAUAAUAAAUCAGUGCUUCUCAAAUAGUGGGGCGCGCCCCCCUUGGGGGGCGCGGUGCAAUACCUGGGGGGGCGCGUGUGACCCUGGGGAACAGGCUUUUUUUUUUUUUUUUUUUUGGCAGUACUCGAAUAAAGUGUAAUUGCGCAUUUACUACAGUAGGCGGCAGUGGCGCUCUCAUUGUUACUUCUGUCACGUUUGCGACAAGAUGGAUAGUCACGGUGGGGAGUGGGGGGCGCGAAUAGUUUUCUUCUUGCUAGGGGGGGCGUAACAGAAAAUAAUUGAGAAGCACUGGCCUACAGGGACGAAUAUUUGUUUUGUUUUA